GAUGAACGCUAGCGGCAGGCCUAACACAUGCAAGUCGAGGGGCAGCACAGGUAGCAAUACCGGGUGGCGACCGGCGCACGGGUGCGUAACGCGUAUGCAACCUGCCCAUUCCCAGGGGAUAGCCCGCCGAAAGGCGGAUUAAUACCCCAUGGCCCCUACCGCCCGCAUGGGCGGAAGGGUAAAGCUCCGGCGGGAAUGGAUGGGCAUGCGUGCCAUUAGCUGGUUGGUGGGGUAACGGCCCACCAAGGCUACGAUGGCUAGGGGGGUCUGAGAGGAUGGUCCCCCACACUGGUACUGAGACACGGACCAGACUCCUACGGGAGGCAGCAGUGAGGAAUAUUGGUCAAUGGGCGGAAGCCUGAACCAGCCAUGCCGCGUGCAGGACGACGGCCCUACGGGUUGUAAACUGCUUUUCCGGGGGAAGAAUAAGGCCCAUGCGUGGGCCGAUGCCGGUACCCCGGGAAUAAGGAUCGGCUAACUCCGUGCCAGCAGCCGCGGUAAUGUCUAGCA
rnacentral:rRNA from 1 species